rnacentral:rRNA from 1 species
ACAUGCAAACUCAAAGGAAUUGACGGGCUGACUCCCGUAGGAGUAGAAGAAAAGGUUCUGUUUAAUACCUGGGACUCAUGACGGUACCUGAAGAAUAAGCACCGGCUAACUACGUGCCAGCAGCCGCGGUAAUACGUAGGGUGCAAGCGUUAAUCGGAAUUACUGGGCGUAAAGCGUGCGCAGGCGGUUAUGCAAGACAGAGGUGAAAUCCCCGGGCUCAACCUGGGAACUGCCUUUGUGACUGCAUGGCUAGAGUACGGUAGAGGGGGAUGGAAUUCCGCGUGUAGCAGUGAAAUGCGUAGAUAUGCGGAGGAACACCGAUGGCGAAGGCAAUCCCCUGGACCUGUACUGACGCUCAUGCACGAAAGCGUGGGGAGCAAACAGGAUUAGAUACCCUGGUAGUCCACGCCCUAAACGAUGUCAACUGGUUGUUGGGAGGGUUUCUUCUCAGUAACGUAGCUAACGCGUGAAGUUGACCGCCUGGGGAGUACGGCCGCAAGGUUGAAACUCAAA